GGAGAGAUGGCCGAGUCCGGUUGAAGGCGAUUGACUCGAAAUCAAUUGUAGGCGCAAGCUUACCGGGGGUUCGAAUCCCUCUCUCUCCGCCA
rnacentral:tRNA from 1 species